rnacentral:rRNA from 1 species
AACGAACGCUGGCGGCAUGCCUAACACAUGCAAGUCGAACGAGAUCUUCGGGUCUAGUGGCGCACGGGUGCGUAACGCGUGGGAAUCUGCCCUUUGGUUCGGAAUAACAGUUGGAAACGACUGCUAAUACCGGAUGAUGACGAAAGUCCAAAGAUUUAUCGCCAGAGGAUGAGCCCGCGUAGGAUUAGCUAGUUGGUGUGGUAAAGGCGCACCAAGGCGCCGAUCCUUAGCUGGUCUGAGGGGAUGAUCAGCAACACUGGGACUGAGACACGGCCCAGACGCCUACGGGAGGCAGCAGUGGGUAAUAUUGGACAAUGGGAGAAAGCCUGAUCCAGCAAUGCCGCGUGAGUGAUGAAGGCCUUAGGGUUGUAAAGCUCUUUUACCCGGGAUGAUAAUGACAGUACCGGGAGAAUAAGCUCCGGCUAACUCCGUGCCAGCCGCCGCGGUAA